rnacentral:rRNA from 1 species
UACGUAGGAGGCGAGCGUUGUCCGGAAUUACUGGGCGUAAAGGGUGCGUAGGCGGGUUUUUAAGUCAGAGGUGAAAUCCUGGAGCUCAACUCCAGAACUGCCUUUGAUACUGAAAGUCUUGAGUAUGGGAGAGGUGAGUGGAACUGCGAGUGUAGAGGUGAAAUUCGUAGAUAUUCGCAAGAACACCAGUGGCGAAGGCGGCUCACUGGCCCAUUACUGACGCUGAGGCACGAAAGCGUGGGGAGCAAACAGG